AGUUAUUUAUCUUAUACAAAGAAUUUACUUUGAAAGUAAAAGAAAGAUUAAUAUUUAGUAACUU
rnacentral:tRNA from 2 species